CUAGUUUUUUUCUUACAACUACUAUAGGACCUACUUUAUGGUGAUUUCAGGUGAGGAUAACCAAACGGUUAAUGAUGUGAAAACGUUAACUGGGCUCAGUAGUCAAAAGUAAUUUGCAAAAUGUCAACUUGUUGACCUCCCUAACGAUGCCAUUUUCCAAUUUUUUUUUCCUUUGGUUUCGCCUCACUUUUGCAUUCAAAGAAACGUAAUCACAGACACAGUAAGUGGUUUGAAAUGAAAUGAUUGUCUUUGUAAAAGUUAAACCUAAAAACCGGUAAUUUGACCAUGGUAGUCAAAAGUAACUGCCUAAAGUCAAUAUCUUUGAUAGCAGGUAUGGCACCGUUUUUUGCUUUCUUUCCCCACUUGCACUUUCGAAGAACAAUUUGUUUAUGCAUGCAUCAUAGGUGCUGUGAUGAUGAUUCUUAACAAAGAAAAUGGGAUUGUGGACUGUAAUUUAAUAGACAGACUUGGAGGACUUGUAAUAUAAUAAACCUCGAACUCAAUCUGGGCCCUAAUUCAAAGCCUUUGAUAAAGCGAUGCAUAUUAGGGAUCUUCAUCUUCUUGACACUACAGUUUUCAAAUAUAACACGAGGUUUGAUGUAUCAAUGUUUUAAAUUAGCAUAAAAUCGUUUUCAAUAAUUAAAAGGGAAUACUCGAAUCAUUUUAUAGUGGAAGUAGCAAUGUUUUUGUUUGGCAAUUUUUUUUUUUAAUAAAAAGGUUUAAAACCGUGAACUGUGCAUGGUGGAUGAUGCCAAGAGAAGAGAUCUCACAGCAGAAUUUUGCUGGACAACACAAGAAACAGGUAUCAGUAAACAAGAAUACAAGUUUCUACCAUUCGCAACACUUCAAAUCAACACAAUAAUAACACAAGGUUCUCUCCAUAGCAGCAUGACACAUCAGAUUUUUAAAUGUCUGAGAGAUUGACAUGUCAUUAACUGAAAAAGUUGUAAAGCCAAUGAAAAUAUUUUGUUUCUCCAGGUCAUAUUUGUUUUGUCUUGUGCUUAUAGAAAAUCUUAAGGACGUCGGGGAUUUUGACAGUCGCCGCCUCCAAAUCAUACGCCGCCUUUGUACAACUUCUUAGCUUGGUUUAUCAAUUUUCUAGAUUCCCAAUCUCGACAGCUCCGACUCCAAAUCAUACGCCGACUCGAAGAUAACGUAAACCCCCUUGCUCUCAACGAAGCUUGGCGUGGAUCUCGACAAAAACGAUGGAAGCUCCGAUUUCCAGACCUGGGUUGUACACGACAGAAGAAAAAGCCGUCCUUUAGAGACUUCCUCUGUCGAAAGCUCUGAUUGUAGAGAUUCCUUUAAAGUACCCAUCGUUUAUAGAUUAAGAAAGUUUGGCCCUUGAUCUUGAUUUUAGGAUAUAAGUGUAUUGCUGGAAGUUGCUUUCAUCAUUCAUCAUUGAUGAUCGGGAUCGAGUAUACCGUAGAGUGAAAGGCGUGUUUGUACAGUUUCACCUCUCCCGGAGAUCCAAUGUACCCGACAAGGGCUGUUCGUCAUGCAGCCUGGGACGCUUUGGAUUCCCUCUUUCCGGUGAGGCGUUACCCGAGGCAUCUCAUCAGUCUAUUUUUCAGGCUGCUGUAUCCAUGGUACUGGCCAUCAUCGUGCUGGAACUUUGUGGUUUCUUGCAUUAAGGUGGUACUCUAUUCCAUCGUAAGGCUCAUCUUUUCACGCCAAGAAAAGCCAAGGCAGAGCUGAAUAGCUUCUACAUAUGAUUGAAGCUCGCUGCAGGAAUCCAAUCCUUGUGUAUAGAAUGUGGUUUUGAUCACAAUGAGGCACACCAAGAGAACUUUACAUAAGCCUCUCUGGUCACUUUCCUAUCCUCAGUAACCUUAUAACUCAUAUUACAAAUUGUAUUGUCAUGACUGGACACAACUUUUCGAGUGAAUACAUACAUAAAAAGUAGCGCACACAUGCUUUGCUAUAA